rnacentral:rRNA from 1 species
UGGAGGCAGCAGUGAGGAAUAUUGGGCAAUGGGGGAAACCCUGACCCAGCAACGCCGCGUGAAGGAAGAAGGCCUUCGGGUUGUAAACUUCUGUGACAGGGGACGAAAGAAAUGACGGUACCCUGAGAGGAAGCCACGGCAAACUACGUGCCAGCAGCCGCGGUAAUACGUAGGUGGCGAGCGUUGUCCGGAAUCACUGGGCGUAAAGGGCGCGUAGGCGGCUUAGCAAGUCGCAUGUGAAGGACCAGGGCUCAACCCUGGGGGGUCAUGCGAAACUGCUGGGCUUGAGUGCAGUAGAGGGAAGCGGAAUUCCUGGUGUAGCGGUAAAAUGCGUAGAGAUCGGGAGGAACACCGGUGGCGAAGGCGGCUUUCUGGGCUGCAACUGACGCUGAGGCGCGAAAGCGUGGGGAGCAAACAGGAUUAGAUACCCCAGUAGUCUU